AUUGAACGCUGGCGGCAGGCCUAACACAUGCAAGUCGAACGAGUGGCGGACGGGUGAGUAAUGUCUGGGAAACUGCCCGAUGGAGGGGGAUAACUACUGGAAACGGUAGCUAAUACCGCAUACCAUCGGAUGUGCCCAGAUGGGAUUAGCUUGUAGGUGAGGUAACGGCUCACCUAGGCGACGAUCCCUAGAUGGUCUGAGAGGCUGACCAGACACAAGGGAACUGAGACACGGGCCAGAAUCCUAAGGGAGGAAGCAGGGGGGAAUAUUGCACAAUGGGCGCAAGGCUUAUACAGCCAGGCCGCGGGUAUGAAGAAGGCCUUCGUGUUGUAAAGUACUUGCAGCGGGGAGGCGUUACCAGCAGAAGAAGCACCGGCUAACUCCGUGCCAGCAGCCGCGGUAAUUC
rnacentral:rRNA from 1 species